rnacentral:rRNA from 1 species
UGUUCCGCCAGGGGCAUUGCUGGUUGGCUACGUACGGAAGGGAUAACCGCUGAAAGCAUCUAAGCGGGAAGCCUGUUUCGAGAUCAGGUUUCAUUUGAGGUCCCCCAUAGAUGAUGGGGUUGAUAGGCCGGAACUGUACGCACGGUAACGUGUUCAGGUGACCGGUACUAAUAGGCCGAACGUCAACACA